UACGUAGGUGGCAAGCGUUGUCCGGAUUUAUUGGGCGUAAAGAGCGCGCAGGCGGUUCGCAUAGUCCGAGGUGAAAUCUCCCGGCUCAACUGGGAGGGGUCUUCGGAUACUGGCGGGCUUGAGGAGAGCAGAGGUGAGCGGAAUUCUCGGUGUAGUGGUGAAAUGCGUAGAUAUCGAGAGGAACACCAGCGGCGAAGGCGGCUCACUGGGCUCCACCUGACGCUGAGGUGCGAAAGCGUGGGGAGCGAACCGG
rnacentral:rRNA from 1 species